rnacentral:SRP_RNA from 1 species
UGGCUGUAAUGGUCCAACGGCGAAGUCUCUCACACUUAUUUCGCUCCUUUCCUUCCAACUCAACCCCGUUGGAUCCCCCCCGCUCGGCGCCCAGCCCGAACGCUGCGGUGGCUGCCCGGUCGCGCAGGCAACUCGCGACUGUCGGUAAAAGAUUUAUUGCGGCCCUAAGCACUGGAGAUGACCCUUGAGUGAGGAUUCACUCUGCAGAGACCUCUCCCCCGUCGCGUGGCGGGCUGGAUCACGACCGCGGGGGGCUUGGGUUGGAAGGGCGAGAUGGAGAAUGACGACGCCUCUU